AUGCAUGAGAGCAUCAGCUGUUCCGGGCAACUGUGUGAUCACGCCGAUGUGAGUAAGAUCUUUAAACAGUCCAACAUUCACAAGGCCGGAGGGCCAGACGGAUUACCAGGACCUGUACUCCGAGCAUGUGCUGACCAACUGGCAAGUGUCUUCACUGACAUUUUCAACCUCUCCCUGACCGAGUCUGUAAUACCAACAUGUUUCAAGUAUUCCACCAUAGUCCCUGUGCCCAAAAACACUAAGGUAACCUGCCUAAAUGACUACCGACCUGUAGCACUCACGUCUGUAGCCAUGAAGUGCUUUGAAAGGCUGGUCAUGGCUCACAUCAACACCAACUAUGUGGUCAGGCACAACUCGAACACCAUCAUUAAGUUUACCGAUGACACAACAGUGGUAGGCCUGAUCAUCAACAACGAUGAGACAACCUAUAGGGAGGAGGUCCGAGACCUGGCUAUGUGGUGCCAGGAUAACAACCUCUCUCUCAACGUGAUCAAGAUGAAGGAGAUGAUUGUGGACUACAGGGAAACAGAGUACGCCCCCAUUCUCAUCGACUGGGCUGUAGUGGAGCAGGUUGAGAGCUUCAAGUUCCUUGGUGUCCAUAUCACCAACAAACUAUCAUGGUCCAAACACACCAACACACUCGUGAAGAGGGUAUGGCAAAGCCUAUUCCCCCUCAGGAUACUUGACAUGGGUCCUCAGAUCCUCAAAGUUCUACAGCUGCACCAUCGAGAGCAUCCUGACUGGUUGCAUCACUGCCUGGUAUGGCAACUGCUCGGCCUCCGACCGCAAGGCACUACAGAGGGUAGUGCGUAUGGCCCUGUACAUCACUGGGGCCAAGCUUUCUGCCAUCCAGGACCUCUUACCAGGCGGUGUCACAGGAAGGCCUUAAAUUGUCAGACUCCAGCCACCCUAGUCAUAGACUGUUCUCUCUGCUACCGCAUGGCAAGUAGUACCGGAGCGCCAAGUUUAGGUCCAAAAUGCUUCUAUACAGCUUCUACCCCCAAACCAUAA
rnacentral:lncRNA from 8 species